rnacentral:rRNA from 1 species
CAGCAGUGGGGAAUAUUGCACAAUGGGCGCAAGCCUGAUGCAGCCAUGCCGCGUGUAUGAAGAAGGCCUUCGGGUUGUAAAGUACUUUCAGCAGUGAGGAAGGUGGAUAUGUUAAUAGCAUAUUCAUUUGACGUUAGCUGCAGAAGAAGCACCGGCUAACUCCGUGCCAGCAGCCGCGGUAAUACGGAGGGUGCGAGCGUUAAUCGGAAUUACUGGGCGUAAAGCGCAUGCAGGUGGUUUGUUAAGUCAGAUGUGAAAGCCCGGGGCUCAACCUCGGAAUUGCAUUUGAAACUGGCAAACUAGAGUACUGUAGAGGGGGUAGAAUUUCAGGUGUAGCGGUGAAAUGCGUAGAGAUCUGAAGGAAUACCGGUGGCGAAGGCGGCCCCCUGGACAGAUACUGACACUCAGAUGCGAAAGCGUGGGGAGCAAACAGGAUUAGAUACCCUGGUAG